AAAGGUAACAGUGGCUUGACCGUGGAUGGUGCUGUCUCACUGGUCCAGCGGACAAGGCCGGAUACGCUGGAAGGACUGGGGGAAAUGGAAAGGCCACCACGACCAGACCAGGACCAGCUGACCGCCAACCACCCGGAGCAAACCAACAGAAAGAGAGCCCAGACCAGACACCUUCACCACCCGAACCAGAGGCAUGGAGGAAGAACCAAAGAUGCCAACCUUCACCUGGAGCAAGCAGACCACAGGGGAGUGCAACCAUUAACCUCUGGGUCACGGGCUUCCAGGUGUGUCUGCUCACUCUGAGGUUUGUCCUUCCUCCUCCUGCAGGACCGGAGCAGACCCAAAAACUACCAUCCCUCACCUGAACAAGAUGACCGGGAUGAACCCAGAAGCCAUGCGCUGCUACAACGUGGUGUGACUGACGCUAUUCUCCAACGAGGAGGGUGCCGAGGACGGAGCCGCCAAUCGCCGGGGAGCAACAGGAGCAGCAACAACAACCGCCAAACCAGAAAUUAUGAGCCGUCUGGAAUUCAGCACGGCAGACACAGAAUCAAAAGUACGCUGGGGAACAACAGUCCAAUUUCACAAUGAAAAAAUCUAAGAGCACAACAUAGAAGUCUGGUUACCACGUUUUUCCACCCUCAAGUCAGUGGUUAGGAGGGUCCUGGAUGAAGCCAAGGUCGGAACUAGGGGAACGGAAAUGACUGGUUCACGCUGGGGAACAACAGGGGCUCCGUCCACUAUUACGGCAUGCCCAGACAUCAUCACUAUUACAGCCUGCACAGCCAUCAUCUGCAAGAUCUGUAAAGACAACCAUCCCACCUCAGACUGUACCACCAUACGCCCCUGUAACCUGUGCAGGAAAGGGUACUACUUCAGAACCUGCCUCAGUUUCUACUGGCCAAUACCACCAACCCCACUAACCCAAAUCCCAAAGCCACCAACGCCCCUCCACGAGACGACAAGAACAACGAAGACCCAGAACCAGGCCCAGACCUUAACACAGGCACCUCCCAACCCAACAUCCAAGAAGUCCCAGAAACAGCCCCCACCCCUGUCGGACCCUCCAAAUCUGCCCCCCCCCCCCCCCCCAACAAAUACUUUCCUAGCCACCUCCACCCUCUCCAAUCCCCUGGUCAAAGGGGAGCAACUCCAGUUCUUAGACGACGACCCAAACUGGACAAAAUUACAAAAAGGGGAAAAAAAACAGACAAACAACAGACCCACAAGAGACCAGACCAGAAGACCACCCGAGAACCCAAACACCAACACCAGCAAGCAUGACCCAUAUCCCCUCCGAGAAACCCGUCUC